rnacentral:lncRNA from 1 species
CGCCCACGACGGAGGCCACGCCCUCUUCCGGUGGCGGUCUUGCCGGGAGCUUUUCCUUCUCUCAACUCCUCUCUCGUCCAGAAAUAGAGGUAAAGUGCCAAGGCCAAGUCUCAUAAAACGCCCCCGCGUGCAAACAAGUGACUGGGCUGCUGAGACUUAAUCAGUGUAGGAUGCCUACAGGAUUGGGCAAGGAUGAAAGAGACGUGAGAUUGUACUGUCAGCUUGUCAAAGCUUACCUUGGUGUUGCUCGCACAUUUUGAGAAACCUGUGUGUCCUGGUUAUGUGAGGUAUGAAAAUCCAGUGAGAAAAAAGUGGGUAUGUCACAUUGAAGCUGCAGACAAAAAAAAAAAAAAAAGGAAGUGAAGAAAGCGACCUGGGAGUAUAAAGAAAGCUAACUGCUUGGAUUUGGGACUUAGAAGAUGUAACAAGAAGCAGGUCAUGCCAAGCUUCUGAAACAAUUCUUAAAUCCCAGCUUCCUCCGUCCCCUUUAUCAUACUUGUAUUUCCUAUGAGGAAAAAAAGAUUAAAAUUCUAUCCAGAUUGAGACAAAGUGUUACAUAUCAAACAGUGAAUGUCCUAAACCAUCUACAGACAAUAUAGAAAGCUUCCAACAUUUUAUUGAACUCUGCAAGCAAAGUGAGAAUAGUUUUUUGCUUUGGUCUAUUUUUAUGCUUUUUCUUGACUAAAAAGGACAUUUUUACAUAAAUAAU